AUCCACCAGACGAGUCCCAAAUAGGAUGAAGCGCGCGUCCCGGAU
rfam:Schistosoma rodhaini strain Burundi genome assembly, scaffold: SROB_contig0000114